rnacentral:rRNA from 1 species
UGGGGAAUAUUGCACAAUGGGCGCAAGCCUGAUGCAGCCAUGCCGCGUGUAUGAAGAAGGCCUUCGGGUUGUAAAGUACUUUCAGCGGGGAGGAAGGCGAUAAGGUUAAUAACCUUGUCGAUUGACGUUACCCGCAGAAGAAGCACCGGCUAACUCCGUGCCAGCAGCCGCGGUAAUACGGAGGGGGCAAGCGUUAAUCGGAAUUACUGGGCGUAAAGCGCACGCAGUCGGUCUGUCAAGUCGGAUGUGAAAUCCCCGGGCUCAACCUGGGAACUGCAUUCGAAACUGGCAGGCUAGAGUCUUGUAGAGGGGGGUAGAAUUCCAGGUGUAGCGGUGAAAUGCGUAGAGAUCUGGAGGAAUACCGGUGGCGAAGGCGGCCCCCUGGACAAAGACUGACGCUCAGGUGCGAAAGCGUGGGGAGCAAACA